rnacentral:rRNA from 1 species
AGGCUGCAACUCGCCUGCAUGAAGUCGGAAUUGCUAGUAAUCGCAGAUCAGCAUGCUGCGGUGAAUACGUUCCCGGGCCUUGUACACACCGCCCGUCACACCAUGGGAGUCGGUAACACCCGAAGUCGGUAGCCUAACCGUAAGGAGGGCGCCGCCGAAGGCGGGAUUGAUGACUGGGGUGAAGUCGUAACAAGGUAUC